UCCUACGGGGGGCAGCAGUGGGGAAUAUUGCACAAUGGGGGGAACCCUGAUGCAGCAAUGCCGCGUGGGUGAAGAAGCACUCCGGUGCGUAAAGCCCUGUCAGCAGGGAAGAAAAUGACAGUACCUGGACAAGAAGCCCCGGCUAACUACGUGCCAGCAGCCGCGGUAAUACGUAGGGGGCAAGCGUUAUCCGGAUUUACUGGGUGUAAAGGGAGCGUAGACGGCGAUGCAAGUCUGAAGUGAAAGGCGGGGGCCCAACCCCCGGACUGCUUUGGAAACUGUAUGGCUGGAGUGCAGGAGGGGUA
rnacentral:rRNA from 1 species